UACGGGGGGGGCAAGCGUUGUUCGGAAUUACUGGGCGGAAAGGGCUCGUAGGUGGCCAACUAAGUCAGACGUGAAAUCCCUCAGCUUAACUCAGAACGGCCAAGUGAUACUGCAGUGCUAGAGUGCAGAAGGGGCAAUCGGAAUUCUUGGUGUAGCGGUGAAAUGCGUAGAUAUCAAGAGGAACACCUGAGGUGAAGACGGGUUGCUGGGCUGACACUGACGCUGAAGCGCGAAAGCCAGGGGAGCAAACGGG
rnacentral:rRNA from 1 species